CAACUGAUGAAAACUUCUGUUUUCAGUCAGGCUCCAUGGGUAAAAAGCACCCAAGAAGUCUAAUGAACUUUUUAAGAAAUUCCAUUUCUUUGUUAAUAAUGAUGGUUAAAACUAAGUGGUCUGUCUGGGCUAUUUUUAUGCUCACAAUGAUUCAGAGAAGACAAGAAAAUUCAAUUUUGCCUAGGUCCUAAAGUUUCCAAGAUUGUUUUAUAGCAUUCCAGAGUAUUUUUCUCUUGGCACUGAACUUAAAAAAUUGCAGAAUAGGUUUGGAGCCCAUUUGGGUGUUUAAUUGGUUUUUUUUUUAAAAUUGACUUUUUCCCUUUGCAAAUCACCACCUUUUAAGUGGAAGCACAGAUUCAUGGCAAUACUCAUGGUUUUAUUUACUUUUCUUAGUAUUCCCUCACAUUCUCCUUAAUCCAUGCAAACCACAGUGAUUCAUCUUCAGUUGAAAAGCAGUGCUUUAGGAAAACCUCUCCAGCUCCUUCCCGAUGCUUUCAGUUGAACUGGUUGUACUUUAACCAAUUCAGCACUGUUGACUCAGAAGCACAUGCUCAGGUCUUCAGUGCGGAAGGUCCAAGUCUUGGCCACAGGAGCUGAGGCUGAAGGGCCAGAGCCUGGUGAGUGCUAAAGAACUUGGCCAGUCCCACCUUUGCUCCAAAAACUUCUUCUUAGGUUGCCCACCAGAUACCUUAAAGCUGCCAGUUCCUCACAUCUGCUGCCAACUGUGUCAAAAUUACUUCUGCUCGUUUCCUGUAGAUGAUUCUAACAGUACUGGGCGUGCAUGCAAGUUAUGAUAGCUCUGAGCAGGAGGUAUAAUGUUCAAAACACAGAUCAAAGGAGGGCUGGAAGCUUGCAGCAGAAGUAGACCCUGCCAUAAAACUAGGAGCUGGCAUUCAGAGCUAUCCAAGGCCAACACUGGAAACUCUUUCCACAUUUCAAUCAUGCCUGCAAGCUGUAAGAAACCUGAAGAAAUGGCACUCUAAAUGUCAUGCCAAAGAGGGACGAUAUAAAGGGUGUCUUCUCAUGGGACAGAAGGGAACUGGUGUCGUUCUCACAUCAACAGAGAGCCACAGCAGCUUUCAUUUUCCUGCUACUGGGGAAAAAGAGGUACUAUCCAACAUCUUUACCCUUCACAGCCUCCUUUAUCAUCACAAACUUCCUCCUAACACUUAUGGUUGCUGGAAAUGUCCUAUAUUGUAGCUUUUGGAUUGUUACACUUUUCAGUAGGUUCUUUGUAAUUAUUCUUCCUUCAAUCCAGAGAUUUUUUUCUGCCUCUUCCUUGACUAGUUUUGAAGCAAAAAGUGGGAGAGGUGAGCCAGUGGCUAUGACUGCGUAAGGCAAAACUUGAGCAUUAAGCUCAGUUGUUGUUUCACCUGGGGUAUUCCAAGGUCUAUGUUGAUUUUGAAAUCAAACUGGAAGUCUCUCACUUGGGAGGAAUGAUAUUACCAUUCUUCAUUGUGUGAAAACAAAACUAUUUUUGAUAGGAAAUUUCAUUAUGCAACAAAUAACCACAGAUGAGGUCAAAAUAAGAAGACAUACUGAAACCAUUUAUUUGCCUAGGAAAUAACUCAUUUUGCCUGUUUGUUUUGCUUGAGGACAUUAUUGGAUACAAGCUACCUACAGCUGUGGAGAGUUCUGCUCACAAAGUGGAGCAAGUUGAUGGCUGUCCAGAGUAGAGCCAUUUAACAUUGUGAGGUGCCUUUUCCUACAAGCCUAUUUAAAGCUUAACAGUGUUAAUGUAGGAAAUUUCUGAAAGAACUACAGAUGUUGAAACCAAAUUUAAACCUGUUAGAAAACAGCAUGAAGUUUUUUCUCCAUUCUGUUUCUUCUUGAAGACUAAUGAUUUAGAGGAAGGCUAUGAGGGCUAAUGAACACAUGGUGGGACUUUAUAUAGUAUAUCAAAGCUUGUGGGACCCCCGCAUAUCUACCUCUGAUACUGUAACUCAGAUCAUAAAAAAAAUAUUUGAUACUAUCUGGUUCAAUUGCCACGACCUUAAAACUUGAAGUGUCAGUGAAAGUCAGUGAAAGUCAGUGAAUCAAUGAAAGUCACAAUUCUGUUGUGUGAAAGAAGUUGUCUUUUAGAACAGCACCUGGAAAUGUUAGAUUAUUGGUGGGAAAUUCACAUCCCACUAGUCAGUGGAAAUAUGGAAAAUCACUUGGUUCUUUGUAUCAUUAGAUUGUGAUAGCUCUUCCCACAGGAGGCAGUAGUAGGCGUGAUGAAAAACUGAAGUGUUGUGAAUAAUAAAAAUGAAGUGGAUUUUUGAAUAAUAAAACUG
rnacentral:lncRNA from 1 species